GACGAACGCUGGCGGCGUGCCUAAUACAUGCAAGUCGAACGAGAGCGACCGGUGCUUGCACUGGUCAAUCUAGUGGCGAACGGGUGAGUAACACGUGGGUAACCUGCCCAUCAGAGGGGGAUAACAUCCGGAAACGGAUGCUAAAACCGCAUAGGUCUUCGAACCGCAUGGUUUGAAGAGGAAAAGAGGCGCAAGCUUCUGCUGAUGGAUGGACCCGCGGUGCAUUAGCUAGUUGGUGAGGUAACGGCUCACCAAGGCCGUGAUGCAUAGCCGACCUGAGAGGGUGAUCGGCCACAUUGGGACUGAGACACGGCCCAAACUCCUACGGGAGGCAGCAGUAGGGAAUCUUCCGCAAUGGACGCAAGUCUGACGGAGCAACGCCGCGUGAGUGAAGUAGGUUUUCGGAUCGUAAAACUCUGUUGUUAGAGAAGAACAAGUGCUAGAGUAACUGUUAGCGCCUUGACGGUAUCUAACCAGAAAGCCACGGCUAACUACGUG
rnacentral:rRNA from 1 species